CAGCAACAAAGCUCUGCUCUAGCUGUCUUCACAAGUACACAAGAUCCAUCCAAAAACAGGCUGCUGCAUUGUUACCAGGUACACAUAUGCUCCAGACCUGUCGAAGUACAUCCAGGGGAAUGCCACAGAAAUGAUUCAAAGGAUGGAACACCUCCCUUAUGAGGACAUGCUAAGAGAGCUGGGGCUGUUCAGCCUGGAAAAGUCUCUGGAGCAAUGUGAGAACAGCCUUUCAGUAAAGAGAGGCUGUAAGAAGGGGAGAGACUCUUUUGCAGGGUCUGCUAUGACAGGACAAGGGGAAAUGGUUUCAAACUGAAAGAGGGGAGAUUAAGGCAGGAUAUAAGACUAAAUAUAAGUUUUAUAGAAUAGCUAGAAGUUUGCUGUAGUAAGGACAGUGAAGCACUGAAACAGCUUGCCCAGAGAGGUGGUGGAUGCCCUGUUCCUGGAGACAUUCAAGAGCAGGCUGCUCCUGCAGAUGCAUUUGGAGAGCAGAAUAGGUUUCCAGCUAUAGAAUGCAAUCGGGAACAGUCAGCAAUAUGGCAGUUCUGAGCUUACAAAGUGCCUUACCAGCAAGGCUUUUCACUACUCUGAGCCACUCCAGCAGAAAAUAAGGUAGUUUUUCCACCUCAUCUGUGCUCUCCUCAUUUCCUUUGGGAAGUCAGGUUUCCAUAGGAAACCAUGCUGUUGGAAGCUGAUUCUUCCAGAGGUCUAACACUAGCCUCUGUAAGUCAGGAAGGCAGCUUAGCAGGCCCACUGGGAAGUAGCAGAUGGAUAGGAAAAUGACAUGCUUUCCAAAAGUAUUUAAAUAUCAACUCUCUUUUGUUACAGCUGUGUAAGAGCCAUAUAAAAUCAAGUAACAUGUAGGAGAGAAAAGGGGUCAUGAAGGAGGAGUUUGAGCAAAAAGUAAUGCUAAAAAAGAAAAAAAAAUCCAUUGCAAAUGGUAAUGUAAAUAAGGACACAAUUGCAACAGAAUUUUCCUUGAAUCAACGGAGGACUAUUACUUGAUGAGAUCAUUGUUUUCAGGAAGUGUUAUAGAAAUGCGAUUACCAGACACUGAGGUUUUUUAACGUAUAAAAUAGGAAAGAGAGAGGACAAGCUGUGGUGAAGAAAAUGCAAGCAUUGUACAACUCAACAGACCUCCUGUCCCAGAGAGAUUUAUUUACUGGAAAUUACGACAAUGAUUUAUGGGCAGCUGGAAUUUGCAUGCAUUGCUCCGAAUCUGUGGAAGAAUCUAUGUGGUUGUUCAUGGCCUUCAGAAACAUGGAUGCUGCAAAGCAGAGCUAUGGAGAAUAUGGAAAGCAGGCUCAAAAAGCAUCUGCAAAUCUGUGCCAAUAUUAUUGCCUCUGUCAUCAAGCAAUGGAAAGGUUUUUCUAGUUAAAUUCAAGUAAUUAAAUCUCCCUGCUCUCAUUAAAAAAAAUACAACUGUCUGCUGCUGGUCUGAAGAAUUGCACAGAGUGAACGUAAAUUUUAAUUUCAUGGUGCAAGUGUUAAAUUAUUGCCAUCUAAGCUGUCUGCCAGUGUUACAUGAAAUCCCACCACAUUUUAAUAAUUCUCCCUUUGUUUUGGAUGGAAAUACCACGUGUUGUGAUUUGGAAGUUUUUAUGUGCAAUUAGAGCCCUGAGAACUACAACAUAAUCACAUUCAAUUCACCUAAUUGGACAGCGAGGAAACUGUCAUUUCUGAAAUGGUUUGUGUCUUUUGGAAUGUCUGUGUGUAUACACAUGCGUAUAAAAUGAAACAUUUUCUCACCCAUCCUGUGUUAAAAUGUAAUAGAAACUCCUGCUAACUGAAGUUGAAGAUAUAGCUGGGUGUUCUUUAGUAACCUCAAAACAUAUACGUGUGCGUGUAAAUAAAAAACUGUCCUUCUAAACACAAGGAUCCUUCCCUCCUACUUACUUUGCAACAUCUUAGUAAGGAUUUGCCAUCAAUUCCCUCUCUUUACAGUGCAUUUGAUGACAUUUUACAGAUCAUCAUACUAAAUAAGUAAGAACCAUCCUCUGAUUUAGAAGAAAAACCUUUAUUUAUUUCAAUUUAUUUUGGGAGUUCAGAAGUAAUGACAAACUUGACAAUCUUCAUGACAAACAUGACAAUCUUCACAUCACUUUAAGCUGUGUGACCAAAAAGCCAUUAGCUUCACAGAAACAGACAAUACAUUUCAUCCUGAAACAACACUUAUGAUCAACAUUUAUGCAAUCUAUAGGUACUUCCUAUAUUUGUAUCAAUGCAAGUAAGAAGACAUGGAGUAUCAAACCAGCAAGGGCUUAGAAAUAUCAAGCCCAAGAGUUUACCCAUUUACUUCAGUGGAAAAUAGUGCUAGUAAAUAUCAAUACAUAUUUUAAUCUUUUAUUUCAGUAAUUUCCAUGUAAAAGCAAACAUAUUCUGCCAACUUUAUUCAUUGUCUUUGAUCUUUUUUUGAAGCAUAUUAUGAUAGAUUUCUGAAUCUUUUAAUUCAAUGUUGAAGUAGAUAUUAAGUAUAUCACAACACCAAUCCACACUAAAUAGAACUUUUGUUUUUUGUUCUUUUGCUGAAAUGUCUGACAGUAUUUCAAGAAUAAUUUAAUUAUGAACUUUAUAUUAACAAAAGACAAGUGAUUUUUUAUUCCAUUCAGUGUGGAAUAAGAUACUACCUAUAUUUGUUAAGCCCUGUGUAUCAACCAGAAUUUGCAAAGGGAAGUUAUCAACUUCAGAUACUCAUUCUCCAUUUCCCAUAAAUAUGUUAAAAAUACAAAGUCAGCUCCUAAGUUUUUCAUCAAAUAAACUAGCUUAUUAAGAUUAAGUGGCCUGAAACCACCAUCUGUGAGUUCACAUUUAUAUCUAGAAAACCUGUAUAAUCAUGUGUAUUGAGAGUAAGGCUUAGUGUUGGAAGGCCCAACCUUGUAAACAAGCUUUGUUUACACAAGAAGACAAUAGGACUCUUCUUUUGUUUCAGAGUUUACAUGUUCAGAGGCUGAGAUCACUAUUUUUGAAAUGUGAUGAUGGGAAUACAAAGUAAUUACCUUUAUGAAGGUUUUACAAAGAAUCCUGUAAGUAAAGCCCAUGACAGAAAUAUAUAGUGUCUCCAAAGAAACAAUUAUGAUGUAUUGUGUUUGAAUAAUAACUCAGAAUGUUUUAUCAUCAUCUGUUUACAUAAUAAGUCAUAAUAACUUUUCAAAAUAUGGUGCUUGCAUUUUUAUUAUUGUUUUAAGUGUACAUAGGGGAAUUACUACAGCCUAGAAUCAUAAACUUUGUAAAACUUUGUUGAAGACUGCAUUUUUAUUCCCAUCCUCUUCUGCUCAAACAAAAAUGUAAAGGAAACAACACACAAAUAAAAGUACGCUAAAAUAAUCCCAUGUGUCUGGCUAAAAGAAAAGACAGGAAAUUCUUAAAAGUGUGGUUAUAAACUGAAAAAUGCCUUUAAACAUGGCUUCCUACUGUCUCACAUUUAUAUAUUCAUAAUUAUUUCACUAUCAAUAUUUUCUUUGCUUAUAUGUACACAAAUUACAUUAUUCAACAUGCCAAGACCACAUUCUCAGUCUGAUAUCUGGAAUACAAAGCCCUGUUGUCACUGGCUUCUACUACAGUGUUAAAGAUGGAACUGAGAGAAAUUCCUAGAUUCCCUCUCCUGGAAACUUUAUGAUUUAAGCCUACUUCUGACCUUUAGCAAUAUUUCCUUGGGGAGACUGAGGUCCAAAUUAAACUUUCAGGAAUUACAAGAGAAAUUUCAAUGAACUCUAGAGAUGCCAGAAAGACAAAUGACAAAAGUAGUUAAAGCAAAAGUGCUGAGCACGUCUUAAGUGCUUCAAUUAGAACUCUUGUUCCCCACAGGAUGUUCCAGAAAGGUGUAGAGGUGCUCACAGACCCUCACAAUGGUUUCAGACAUCUAGCCCACAAAGUAGAAUCCAAAGCCAAGAUUAGAGAGCUGUUACCUACAGAGAACAGAUGAUGUUAUGUGAGAGGACUAACAAAGUAGAAACAUUAUGGAGUUAUCUAGAAUCUAACUCAUAAUUUUGAAAGUCAGAUAAUGCCAACCUAUGUAGUUGAGGCACUCUGUCACAGUGGAAGACUGUGGUUAUUUCCAUCCACUCAGUGUCCACAGACCAUCAAGGUAAUUCAAUUUUUGUUUCAAAGGCUCCGUUUUUUUAAAAAAACAUAACCACUGUUGAAGAUGAGAUGUUAAUAAUGGAACAUAGGAUUAUUCUUAGUUCUACUAUUUACUGAAAAAUAGACAUACAAACUGUGUGGGGCAAAGACAAAGGCCAGAAUCCUGCUUGCUCCAUAAAAAUUGUUUCCUUCCUCAUUUAUCUCCUUGAAUCUUAAUGAGUUUUGCAGUUGUAGUGCACAUCUGUACAGCUAUGUAGACUAGCCUGGGACCCAGUGGGUAAGGUGUGCCUCCUCAGAAAUUAGAGUUUAAAAUACCUGAGGUCAAAGCAGAUGUAAAAAGUUGUCUCCUUCUGAAAGGUUUCCAGUUUUAUUGGCAUAUACUACGUUUGUCUGAGUGCACUUUCCAGGUCUGUGCUAUAAGCUAACACUACCAUUUAUCUUCUGGAUUCCCAGACUGUUUAAGUCAGACAGAGGUACAUGCCCGCUUCACCCUGAGCCCUUCUGCGAAUGGUCAGAAACAGAAUACUGUGUGAUCUCAAAAAGAUUCAGAGCAAACAUGGAAGACAGUUAUGUUUAAAUGACACUCUGGUUGGGCAGGCACUGAACGCAGUAACAGUUUCAACAUAGACACCUUAAACCUUCCAGUAUUCUAUUUUAGGUUUGUUCUUCAUUCUUGCAUCACAGCAGGAGUUGUACCCUUUAUCAGUGUUGAUGUCUUCUUAAAAGAGGGUCUGUGACCGCAUUUGAAGUAUCUCUACUACCAGUUGUGGUGAUUUCACCCUGAUGUGCAGCUAAACUACUACAUCAUUCUCCUGUUACUCCUACUCAAAGGAAGAGGGGGAGAAAAUGAAAUGAAAAAAGGCUCAGGGUUUGAGAUUACCGUCACUGAUCAGUGAUUAUGAGAAUAAAUAAACAUAGUGUGGAAAAAUCUUUGUAUAGUCAUUAAAAUACCCAAGUGUGGCAUUCUAGUAGAGAUUUAAUAAGGAGAAGAAACUGACCCUCAGACUUAGGAAUUCAUUUUCUUUACUUUUCUACAAGGACAGACAUACAUCUCUCUAUCUAAUUUAUAUAUACAUACGUAUAUAUAAAGCAAAGCUUUUAAAGAAUUUUUAUUUAUCAUUGUAAAAUCUCUACUUAGAAUUGGAAAGAGAUAGAAAAAAAAAAAGUAGACUUUGAUUAUCACCUUGAUACAUCUAAGUGUUUACAGUGGGAGCUAAGCUGUAGCAUAGCAAUGUAAUAAAAAUAGAAAGUAAAGUGACGUAAAAAGUGCACUGAGGACUACCUUAUAACUAAUUCCAAACGUUCAAGAAUAGUAAAUGGUUAACAGUGAUGCAAAAGGAAAUUACAGAAAAAACAAUCAAAAAGGACUCCUAAACAAUGAAAGGAAACAAAAAAUUAAUAAAGCAGAAGACUGAAAAACAGAUAAGGAGAGCAAAACGGUGAAAGAUUUCACAGAAGAUUAUGAAAUUAGCACAAAAAAUUUUUAAACAAUCCUAAGAAUAAACUGUCAUUGAAGAACAGAAUAGGGAUUGUGGAGGAUCAUUUUUUAAGGGAUGAGGUAAAAAAAGAUGGAAAAUUUAAACAAAUUCUUCGCAUAGCUGUUCAGAAAGAAAUGUCAGCUCGCAGAGCUGUAGAAAUAUAGGUACAUAUUUUCUGGAGCAAAAGGAAGGAUAAAACACCUAAGUAAACACACACUGUAUGUGACAUAGUACAGAUGACAAUCUUAGCAUGUAUCACAUAAAAUAAUUUCUCAGUGCUAAAGCAUAUGCACUUCAGAAUUCACAGAAAGGGACAAAAAACAGCAUCACUCUUCACAAGACUAAUUUACAUCACUUCACCAUUCAGAUAACUUUUCCUUUUCAAAAUGUUGCUUUGAAGUCACAUGGGCUACUUACAUGACUGACAACUCUAGGACUGCAGUGAAAAAGAAGUUUCAGUGGAAUUAAAGAAAAAGUAACGGGAAGUGUGCAGGAGGUAUCUGUGCAAAGAAGGGCCCCAUGCAACUCCUCUCACAGCUUGCCUCUAAAAACUCAAGAACUGGGUUUAAAUGAGAGAAACACCUUGUCUUUCUGGCAAGUUUUAGCAAUGCCUUCUAUGCAGGAAAGCAAUUUGCUUCAAGACCAAACAGAAAUGCACACUGGUUAAGAGUGAUAUAUUACAAAAACAACAGAGUAUAGCUAAAUUCAGCAAAUUAUGAAGCAAUGGCUAUUUCAGUGAGAGUCAGAGAUUCGUCUAAUGAGAUCCAGGAGUUUCAGCUCUGAACAAAAAGUGAUGAAUUCAAGCUUAAAUUCCUACAAGUAACCCCUAUUCUACAUUAAAGGUAACCAUCCAUCACAUUUUUAACUACAUCUACAAGGGAGUUCAGUAACUUCAGUCUAAAAAAUUCAAAACACAGACAUAUUUUCAGCCAAAACAAAGCCAGAGCCAGCAGUAAUUUUAAUUCUUUUCACUAAGUAUUGUUCUGGCCAUAAGACUAUGUGUAAAAUGGAUGUGGUUGAAGCCACAAUGGACUGUAAGGUUUAUAGGAUGAACAAGUUGCUAAGGAAGAGCUUGCAUGCCUAAAAACUUACAUUAUUCCAGCUGGAGUGCAUCCUGUAACAACAGUACUUCUUUAUUCUUCCAUAUCUUCCCUAAAAAGCUGAGCGCUCUGGCUGAAGACAGGCCAGGAGAGGCGCAUGGAUGUUUGCCUUCUUCAUGUUGCCUGAAAACCUAGUCCUUGUCUCAUCUGGGAACAGGACAGUCAUGCCAAGUGGAUGCAUCUCCCUGCAUCUGUGGAGAGACAGCAAAUGUGCUGUCUGGAAAGUAUCUGUGUUCUAGGAGGUGAGAAACUGGCUUGGGCUGUUUGAUUUCACUUCUACUCAGAGAAAUGGGGCAAUGAACUUUCUAAUAAACAGGUUUGGUUCACAGAGGGAUGACUCCACCAUCGAUCAUUCCACCAGAGGAAUAACUCAAGAUUCGAAAAUUUUAACCAGAUAAUUUUAUCAAAAGAAUAAUAAAAAAAAAAAAAAAAAAAAAAAAAAAAAAAGGACCAAGUAAUGACUUAAAACAAUUGCUGUGAUAUUACAUCUACAUAGGAUCUACUGGCCUAUAUGUCAGUUUUAAUCUGCCACUGGUUAAAUCCUACAUACUGAGCAAAAUAACUUACCAACACAAUACAUGCAAAGUAAAUAAAUACUCAAGCAACACUCUAUGUCCCACAUCCACUCAGAUACCAGAAGUGUGUAUUUCCAGUCUGUGAAAUACAAUGAUAAGUAAAAACAGUGAUUCUCCAUGAGUGCAUUACUCAGAAGAAGCAAUGUUAAGGCAGUCAGUGUGAUCUUUAAAAAUCACUCCCAGUAAAUAAAUAAAUAAGCACCUCUACCUGCACAGCUAUCUGAAGACAAGUUAACAAAUUCUGUUUUCCACUUAUUAGCAAAUCAGUUGUUCUGUAAAGAAUACAUGAUCAAAACCUACAGCAACAGCUGGCACAUGUAUAAAGCGGGGCAAAAAAAUUAAGAUGAAGUAUUUCUGACAAAAAAAUAUAUGAAACAAAACAAAGUUGAAAACUGAAGCAGAUAUCAGAUAACCAUUUUGUCAUUUAUAAAAUACUUUUUCAGGACAAAAGGGGUUGCCAUACCUUUUCACUCAGCAUAUCCUCAGAGUCACAUAUUAAGCUGAUCAAAUCCGAGGGUACUGCAGUAAGCUGAAGCUUGAAGCUGCCUCCACUUCCUUCAUUUCGUUUACAGUUUUGUUUGGGGGUUGUUCUUUUUUUUCUUUUUAGCUUGCAGAAACCUGAGGGAAAAAAUAUUUUGGGGGUUACUAUCGAAAUAGUUUAUUCAGUAGUCAAUUAACUGAAAAAAACAAAUAGUUCUAAACUGAUCUCUUAUAUACCAUGCCCCUUUUUAUAUCAUAGUUAUUGGUUCCAUUCUGUUGUUAUAUUUUACUGAAAACAUUAUGAAUAUAAAUGAGAAUAGUGCACAAAGAGCAGAGGUGAAGAUAUGUCCCAUUAGAAAUCUGCUUUUUUACUUACAUUUACUGAGGUUAUCAAGUACCUCUUUAUGAACUCUUCAUCCCUUUCUAAAAGGUAAAGUUGAAAUUGGGAAAUAUAUUGCAUCAGUUAUUGGGCAUUCUGGGGUUUUCCAUUAUUUUAAAAACCUCCUAUGUGCCUAAUUAUAGCUAAUAAGUACUGUUUAGAAACAUAGCAGAGAACUCAUGAUUUCCUUCUUCACCCAAUGCCCAGAAAAUCCAUGUCCGAGAACAAAAUCUUGAAGGUAUUUGUGAUCAUGACCCAUUCUCAUUAUCUGUAUCCAUUCUAAGAUUUUUAUAUUAUAUGAAUGAAUAUUUUAAAGUGAAAUUAUAGUAUUCAAUGGCAAAUUACAACUACAUGUGACCAAGAGAGGAUUAAACCCAUCAUUUUGCUUAAGAGCUCUGAUGGCUGGAGUAAUUGGAUGAUAGCUGUAGGGCAUCUUUUUGGUCUGUAAUUAGGUCAUUUCUUUCUCAUCCCUUCACUGUGUGUAUAAUUACGAAUUAAUUUGAAAUCCCACUGUGAGUAAAGAAAGUCAGUUUAAUAUAACGGAAGUGCAAAAGCCACAAUAUAUUACUUUUUAAAAACUGCUUAUUUCAAAAUACUCAGUCUGGCCAAAAGUUAUAUCCCUAUGUACUGCAAGGCUUAUAUUUGGUUUCUUUGCUAACUUUGUACAAGUGCUGCUCUGAAAGUAAUGCCUCCUGUUUUAUUAUGUUGGUGUGCAAUGUCAGAGGUGGAUUUUGGUGGUACAUCAGGAGAGGUUGAACCUUCACACCAGUAUUCCACUACAUUUUGUUGCUGUGUGACAGAUGGCAGCAGAGGGUCAGUCUGACAAAAUGGCUUCUGACACGGAAGCAUCUGAGAAGAAAAGAUGUGGAACUGAAUUCCUCCAUGUGGUAAAAAAAUUGCAUCCAUUGACUUUCACUGAUGCUUGCUGAACAUUUAUGGAGAUCAAACAGUGGAUGUGAGCUCAGUGAGGUUGUGGGUAAUGUGUUUCAACAGCAGUGAUAGUGGCAGUGGUUCACCUCCACCGGUGCAAAUUUUUACAAGAACAGCAAGCAGGUUCUCGUUCAUCGUUGGCAAAAAUGCAUAGCUAAUGACAGUGAAUAUGCAGCAAAAUAAAGUUUGUAUUUGAGAAUUUUCUCUAUGAAAUAGUGUUAUUGUGCUCUUUGUAUUUGUUGCAGUUUCUAUGGAAAUAAACAGCAAGUAUUACUUUUGAAUCAAUCUACGUUCCUGGAUGUAUUUUCUCUCUUAAAAUAAAUGAAUUUUCAAAGCACCACACUUUGCUCCAGUAUCUGUCAGUAGGUGUCAACAGCACAAAAAGGUAGUGGAAAGAAAUAAAAAGUAACCAUGAGAGUCUUGACAGACAGUAUUAGCAUCAGAGAACUUAGAGGCCACUCUCAACACAGUCAACCAUUUUAUCCUUUAGUCCUGCCAUUAUUUCCUUCCACUGAAACUACCUUUCUGCUUUUACCCUGAAAGUGUUAAACACUGCACAACCCUAACUAGCAUACCUGCUACUAUGUGCAUCAGGAGCUCACCAUUUCAUCAUCUGGCUGAGAUAUGCUGCUGGCAAGUUCUGCUUCCCUUCCUUUAUCACAACAUUGUGGUCGGAUGCAUCAGACCUCCCUCCCGCCUUAGCAAUGAUACAGGUAAAAACAUGCAUUUCUGACAAAUGGAUAACCCCAAGCAGAUCUGUGGAGACAAUGUUUUGACUUGCUGAACUUCCUGUUUCAUUCUGUUUUCAUCUGUCCCCAGAAACCUUGAAAGGGGUCGGUGAGAGGGUCCCAGGUGUGAUCUGAGCACCAGUGAUGUCAACAGCGAGCCAGGGGCUGUGCAGGGUGUGAAGUUAAAGGGAAGAGCAGAGAAAAGACUGUUGGUGCAGAGAACAAGGGUACUGAGAUUUGACUGUAUUUGUAGCUGUGCUGUAAAAAACUGUAAAACAUCCCAUGCCGUUAGCAUAAGAUUAGAUUUCUGCCAGGAAAAAAAAAAAAAAAAAGAGAGAGAGAGAGAGAACAAAAAGAAAUGGAACUGCUUAGAUAUAAGUUCCAAAGUUCAUUAAGAGGGUUCUUUUCUGCAUAGCUCCAAAGCUAAGAUGUGCUAAGGCAUGUAGAAAAAUAAGGAGGUGUUAAAAACCUACCCAACUUCUUAGCUUUCAAAAAAAGUUCAAAGUCCUAGUCAUCGAUUAUUUACAUGGUGACCUCCAGGCCUAUUUGUGAUGCCAAAAAAAUUGUACUCAGGAAGGAAGGAAGACAUUAUCAAAAAGGAAAGAAUUUCUGUUUAAUCUAAUAAUGCCUUUAUAAAAAUAACCAUUUUCUUUUACAUAUAAUAAAAAAUUCAUUAGAAAAUCUCAACAUAUUUUUAUAUAAAAAUAAUAACUGGCAACAUAGCUAGAAAUAAGAAGCAGAGAAAGAAACUUGGAUGCAUUUCUUGCUUGCAAGAGCAUGAUGAGGAAAUAAGGUAAUCUAGUCUUCCCAUUCUGAACAAAAUAGACAUGAUAACAGAAUAUAUAAAUCAAGACAUUUUUGGAGAAAUAAUGUCACUCCAUAAUUUUUGAAAGUAGAAAUAAUUUAAAAUUCAUGCAUGAAACUAAAUAGGUAAAAUAUGUCAUUUUGAAAUAACAUAACAGUAAAAAUAAUUUGUAAAACUUUUUUUGUUUUUUAACUGAGUCUCAUUUUAUACUUGGAAAAUUUUCUUUAGAAAAUUUUCAACCUCUUCUAUGUAGCUCCUGGGUAAAUAUGGAGGUUUUAUGGAAACCAAACAAAUGAAUUAAAUGACUACAAGAAUUAUUGGCUCUAAAUAUAUACAUUUUCUUCUGAUGCUACUAGAAUGUUACUAGUAUAUACUGUAUGAAUUAUAAAAAAUGUUAUGACAGAUAUGGAAGUAAUAUACUUCGGUGAUAAAUCUUCAAUAGAAAGAAUUUAUUAGAGUCAUAUAGAUCUACU
rnacentral:lncRNA from 1 species